rnacentral:lncRNA from 1 species
ACUAAAUUCUCACCUAAAGUUGAUACUAAUAUUACAAUAACUCUCUUGUGCCCUAUUUUGGUGUUUUAAACUUCUUUGCUGUACAUUUAAGAAAAUCAGAAUUUCAGUAGACUCCUCGUGCAGUCUGAGGAGGCAGUUUCCUAUCUGGUUUGACUUAAGGGGCUGCAGAAGACAUUCUUAUCCCACAUAUUUCUUCUGCUGAUCAGUCAGCAACUGAAAUUCCAACUAAUGGAUUCCAUUCUUCCAGUUAAGACAUCAUCUCCAGAAAACUGUGCUAGUUGGCAUCCAGCAGUGCCCAAGUAUUAUUUAACCCACUAGAACCUGUGACUGCAUCAGCUUUAUAUCCUGGACCUCAGCCUGGAACAAAGGAGAGCUACACUUGGAUACUAAACACAAGUGGUCUGGAUAGAUUAUGCUGGGAAAAGAAGCCUGGAGCAGGCAGUACAGUGGGAGAACAAGUUCAACCAAUCUACAAAGGCCAAAAAUAUUUUCACAGGCCCCCAAAAGAUGAACUCCAAUCUGCUGCCCCUAAACGCAUUCUCCACUGUCUGGAAGAUGUGCAAAGGCAACGGCACAGCGUUCUCCAUCUCAAAUCCUUCAAAGUGCUGUCAGAAUAAAAGAAUCCCCACCAAAAGCCCCAGGGAAAUCUAUCUGUCUGUAUGGUAUGGUAAUGACUGAGGUUAUUCCAGAUAGGAUUCUGGGAGAAACUCAGCUAUUGAAAUCUAAUGAAUGGAACUGAGAAUUUCUUGUUAUAAUACUGUUUGUUUGAUUGAAUAUAUCCUUGCAUAUAGGAAGACAUAAAAAUAAAUAAUAAAAGCAAGAUAUUAUUUGAA